rnacentral:rRNA from 1 species
UCUGGGGGAUUAGUGGCGAACGGGUGAGUAACACGUGAGCAACCUGCCCCUGACUCUGGGAUAAGCGCUGGAAACGGUGUCUAAUACUGGAUAUGUCCUAUCACCGCAUGGUGUGUGGGUGGAAAGAUUUUUCGGUUGGGGAUGGGCUCGCGGCCUAUCAGCUUGUUGGUGAGGUAAUGGCUCACCAAGGCGUCGACGGGUAGCCGGCCUGAGAGGGUGACCGGCCACACUGGGACUGAGACACGGCCCAGACUCCUACGGGAGGCAGCAGUGGGGAAUAUUGCACAAUGGGCGCAAGCCUGAUGCAGCAACGCCGCGUGAGGGAUGACGGCCUUCGGGUUGUAAACCUCUUUUAGCAGGGAAGAAGCGAGAGUGACGGUACCUGCAGAAAAAGCACCGGCUAACUACGUGCCAGCAGCCGCGGUAAUACGUAGGGUGCAAGCGUUAUCCGGAAUUAUUGGGCGUAAAGAGCUCGUAGGCGGUUUGUCGCGUCUGCUGUGAAAUCCCGAGGCUCAACUUCGGGCUUGCAGUGGGUACGGGCAGACUAGAGUGCGGUAGGGGAGAUUGGAAUUCCUGGUGUAGCGGUGGAAUGCGCAGAUAUCAGGAGGAACACCGAUGGCGAAGGCAGAUCUCUGGGCCGUAACUGACGCUGAGGAGCGAAAGGGUGGGGAGCAAACAGGCUUAGAUACCCUGGUAGUCCACCCCGUAA